rnacentral:lncRNA from 1 species
CCCCAUCUUAUGGACGAUGUAGGACGUGAUAAUAUCAACUUGCGAGCUAACCAGGAACUAAGUUGAGGUGCUGUUGAUCCGCUAGCUUUGGUCAGAUGCUGAUGGUGAGUUGCUGAACCCAACGAAUACAUUCUGAAGUCAGAUGGGGUGAACAGAUUAGGGUGCUCCUCUAUUAGGGGAGAGCAGGGAACUGCCUCAGGAAAGGGGGCCGCUGGUGAAGCUUAACCACCCUGUAACGACAUACACACAAUCAAUGUGUGAAUGAAUGAGUACAGAGUACUCUUACAGAGUACGGUAUCAAGGUGUGUGGGGUUUCUGCCACUUCCUGCCCCAUGUUCGGGUUUGCAACCAACAAACAUACGAGAGAUAUUUGUAAGAGCUUCCCUUACAGAGUUUCAUAAAGUUCCUUCAACUCCCGCGAUUCUGGAUGCCUGCCUGAGAGUUUCAGGGCAGACCCUGCAAUUGGUCUAAAUUGCUCGGUAGGAGGGUUGAAAUUGGC